AAUAAAAUUCUCUUCGUGGGACCUCUCUUCUCCCUUCCCGCUGAUGCCAUGGCGACGAAGGGGAAACAAACCUCACCGGCAGGGACGAGGCUGGCUUGUUAGCACUAGUUCAGCUGACCGCGGCGAAGAUCAGAUCCUUCAUUAAAUUAACACAUCCUGCUUCUCCCGGCGGCGGGCGGCCGCGGCCGCGGCGAAGGAGGAGAAGGGGAUGACGGGUUGCGCCCAGAGGGAUGUAUUACGGGGAAAUCCUCGCCGCGCCAGUGUAGGGUCGUUGGAGGGAGAGGGUCGCUGGUGACUGGAACGGGGUGCAAUGGUGCAGGUCCAGAACUUUCAGAAAAUAAGGUGGCGGUGGCUUCACCACACCAUCUAGUUUGUAUGUGUGCUUUAAGCAUUUUUUAUUUUGUUUUGCCGGAUUAUUAGUAAAUUCGUUUUGGCUGUUUACGAGUGUUCAUGGUAUCAAUUCUCGGUAACUUUGA